rnacentral:tRNA from 2 species
GUGGCCGUAGCUCAGUCGGUAGAGCACAGGAUUGUGGCUCCUGAGGUCGCGGGUUCGAUCCCCGUCGGCCACCCCA